rnacentral:rRNA from 2 species
GGGUUGUGAGGUUAAGCGACUAAGCGUACACGGUGGAUGCCCUGGCAGUCAGAGGCGAUGAAGGACGUGCUAAUCUGCGAUAAGCGUCGGUAAGGUGAUAUGAACCGUUAUAACCGGCGAUUUCCGAAUGGGGAAACCCAGUGUGAUUCGUCACACUAUCAUUAACUGAAUCCAUAGGUUAAUGAGGCGAACCGGGGGAACUGAAACAUCUAAGUACCCCGAGGAAAAGAAAUCAACCGAGAUUCCCCCAGUAGCGGCGAGCGAACGGGGAGCAG